UUCCGUAGGUGAACCUGCGGAAGGAUCAUUAAUGAAAAGUUCUUUUUUGGAACCUAUCAAAACCCCUUUGUCUACCAUCCUCUGUUGCUUCCACUGGUCAGGCCAACCGGUUCAAACGGUUAGCCCUCUGGCGUUGACGUAAAAAAUCGACUUGCUGGGGAGUGCCGGUGGAUAACCAUACCAAUAAAACUUUAAAACAAACCUAUUAUAGCUCUUAAUGUCUGAAGAAUUUUUAUAAUAACCUUAUAAAACUUUCAACAACGGAUCUCUAGGCUCUUGCAUCGAUGAAGAACGCAGUGAAAUGCGAUACGUAAUGUGAAUUGCAGAAUCUCGUGAAUCAUUGAAUCUUUGAACGCACAUUGCGCCUUAUGGUAUUCCAUAAGGCAUGCCUGUCUGAGCGUCAGCUCCCCCCCACUCAAGCUCUUUUGCUUGGAAUAUUUUGGAUAAGCAGCUUUCACCAGUUGCUGUUCAUAAAUGCAUAGGCAGUAUGGUAGAAAUCCAAGCUGAGCGUAAUAAUUAAAAAAGUCACGUUCAAUGUUGGAGUUAUUGUACUUGCUCUUAACCGCACAGCUUUAUAUUUUGGGUGACCUCAGAUCAGGUAGGGAUACCCGCUGAACUUAAGCAUAUCAAUAAGCGGA
rnacentral:rRNA from 1 species